AGAGGGAGAUCCCCCACACUGGUACUGAGACACGGACCAGACUCCUACGGGAGGCAGCAGUGAGGAAUAUUGGUCAAUGGACGCAAGUCUGAACCAGCCAUGCCGCGUGCAGGAAGACUGCCCUAUGGGUUGUAAACUGCUUUUAAACGGGAAGAAACCCCCCAACGUGUUGGGGGCUGACGGUACCGUAAGAAUAAGGAUCGGCUAACUCCGUGCCAGCAGCCGCGGUAAUACGGAGGAUCCGAGCGUUAUCCGGAAUCAUUGGGUUUAAAGGGCCCGUAGGCGGCUGUAUAAGUCAGUGGUGAAAUCUGUUAGCUCAACUAACAAAUUGCCAUUGAUACUGUAUAGCUUGAAUAAUUGUGAAGUAGCUAGAAUAUGUAGUGUAGCGGUGAAAUGCUUAGAUAUUACAUGGAAUACCAAUUGCGAAGGCAGGUUACUAACAAUUUAUUGACGCUGAUGGACGAAAGCGUGGGGAGCGAACAGGAUUAGAUACCCUGGUAGUCCACGCCGUAAACGAUGGAUACUAGCUGUUUGUUGCACGUUGGUGUGAUGAGUGGCUAAGCGAAAGUGAUAAGUAUCCCACCUGGGGAGUACGCACGCAAGUGUGAAACUCAAAGGAAUUGACGGGGGCCCGCACAAGCGGUGGAGCAUGUGGUUUAAUUCGAUGAUACGCGAGGAACCUUACCAGGGCUUAAAUGUAGAGUGACAGUUCUAGAGAUAGAAUUUUCUUCGGACACUUUACAAGGUGCUGCAUGGUUGUCGUCAGCUCGUGCCGUGAGGUGUCAGGUUAAGUCCUAUAACGAGCGCAACCCCUGUUGUUAGUUUGCCAGCGAGUGAUGUCGGGAACUCUAACAAGACUGCCGGUGCAAACCGCGAGGAAGGUGGGGAUGACGUCAAAUCAUCACGGCCCUUACGUCCUGGGCUACACACGUGCUACAAUGGUAGGGACAGAGAGCAGCUAUCUCGUGAGAGAGAGCGAAUCUAAAAACCCUAUCACAGUU
rnacentral:rRNA from 1 species